CCUUACUGCUCAGUAACACGUGGAUAACCUGCCCUUGGGUCCGGCAUAACCCCGGGAAACUGGGGAUAAUUCCGGAUAACGCAUAUAUGCUGGAAUGCUUUAUGCGUCAAAUGGAUUCGUCUGCCCAAGGAUGGAUCUGCGGCCUAUCAGGUAGUAGUGGGUGUAAUGUACCUACUAGCCAACAACGGGUACGGGUUGUGAGAGCAAGAGCCCGGAGAUGGAUUCUGAGACAUGAAUCCAGGCCCUACGGGGCGCAGCAGGCGCGAAAACUUUACAAUGCGGGAAACCGUGAUAAGGGGACACCGAGUGCUAGCAUCAUAUGCUGGCUGUCCAGGUGUGUAAACUACACCUGUUAGCAAGGGCCGGGCAAGACCGGUGCCAGCCGCCGCGGUAACACCGGCGGCCCGAGUGGUGAUCGUGAUUAUUGGGUCUAAAGGGUCCGUAGCCGGUUUGGUCAGUCUUCCGGGAAAUCUGAUAGCUUAACUAUUAGGCUUUCGGGGGAUACUGCCAGGCUUGGAACCGGGAGAGGUAAGAGGUACUACAGGGGUAGGAGUGAAAUCUUGUAAUCCCUGUGGGACCACCUGUGGCGAAGGCGUCUUACCAGAACGGGUUCGACGGUGAGGGACGAAGGCUGGGGGCACGAACCGGAUUAGAUACCCGGGUAGUCCCAGCCGUAAACGAUGCUCGCUAGGUGUCAGGCAUGGCGCGACCGUGUCUGGUGCCGCAGGGAAGCCGUGAAGCGAGCCACCUGGGAAGUACGGCCGCAAGGCUGAAACUUAAAGGAAUUGGCGGGGGAGCAC
rnacentral:rRNA from 1 species